AUUGGUCAGGUACUAAAAAACAAAAUAAACCGAACGAUUUAAAAAACACUUUCCAAGGAAAUGUCUCUUUUUUUUCAAAAAAACAUAAUCAUCCUUGAAAUAAAUGUGCCAUAGUUUUCAGUUAUUUCAAAAUCAAAUUUCGGUGAAUAAAGUUCAAAAUUUUUAAAUUUUGGAAAGAACAUUAAAUAAACUUCAAACAAAAAUCCUAAAUACUCUUUAAAAUGUGUGAUCCAUGUUAUUCUCAAUGCUGUUAUAGGGGUGCAUGCGGUCCAUAUGGAACAUGUGGACCUUGUGCCCCCUUAUGUGGACCAUACCCAGCAUGCGCAACAAAUCAACCAUAUGUAUGUGGUGUGCCGUGUGGAGCAACUUAUAGUUGUGGGCCAUGUGGACCUUGUGGCCCAUGUGGCCCAUGUGGACCUUGUGGCCCAUGUGGACCAUGUGGCCCAUGUGGACCUUGUGGCCCAUGUGGACCUUGUGGCCCAUGUGGACCUUGUGGUCCGUGUGCUUCACCAUGUCCGAGUUACUGCACGUAUGGACCGUGCUCAGGACCGCAAUAUAGAACAUGUUGAAAAAAAAGUCAACAAAUAAUUGCAAGAGAUUAUUUGAAGGCAUUAAUAAAAAAUUAAGAGGUUUUUGGAA